rnacentral:lncRNA from 1 species
GUACAUAUGUUAACUGCAUCUUCCUUCUUGCAGGAUUGAAUCUAUGCAGCUGUAUAUAGUCCAACCUGUGAAUCCAGAACUCAGUGCAGGACCCAUCACUGGAUUAAUUGACAGGCUCAACAGCUUCCGAGGUAAGCAUAAGCCCAUUGUCAGUAUUCUCUCAAUCUAUUAUUUGUUGUUAGGACCACAUGAGUGGAAUUUCUCUUUCAUUAAAUAUUUUACUUAUUUUUAGAAGUAAAUAAUUUGACUGCAAAUUCUUGAGUAUGUUUCUAUAGUCAAAUUUAUAGUAUAACGAGUGAAAGAUUUAAAAAAAAAAAAAAAAAUAACUACUUAAAUAGAAUCCAGGCUCAUAUGUCCUGAAUUAUAUAAAAAUGAUAUAAAAUUGGAAAUUUUAAUAAGCAGAGCUACACUCAGAUUUAAGAUUCAUUAUUCAAUUUCACAUACAAAUUUAUGCAGUUGUUCAGUAUGUUCAUUAUUGAAAAAAAAUUUGGUCCUGGCAUUUUAACUUGGGGCCUCACACAUAUUAGGCAAGCACCACACCACUUAGCCAGUAAUGCAGCCCCCAGAUUUUUUUUUUUUUGAAACAGUCUCACUAAUUUGCCCAAGCUGGCCUUGAACUUUUCAUCUGCUUAUCCCAGUCUUCUGGGCUUUCAGGCUUAAGCCACCUCAUCCUGCUUAAUUUGAAUUGUUAGGAGAAGCUUUGGGGGGUAAAUAUUUGACUAGAACUUUAUGUUGUUUUUACCAUGGGUAUAUAUGAUUAAAUGACAUAAAAUUUUGAAUAGCUAUAGGAAAUCUAAGAGAAGAAAUCAGCUUUAUCACCAAGAAAGGAAAAUACACAUAAAAUUGAUUUUGGUUUGCUCAAUAUAAAGAGCUAUAUGUUAAAUCUCAGACAUGAAGGGCAAUGCAGAGCAUGCAGAAAACUUAGGGAUAGUGAAAAGUUUUGCAUAAAUAAAUUUUAAAUUAUUCUUUCUAAAAUUACUGAAUUUGAGGAAUAACAGAAAGGAUUAAUAUGGAUUCCAACAACAUUUAUAAGAUAUUUGAAUAUUUAGUAACUAUGAAUAAGAAUUAAUUUUACCAAGUGAUAAUUUCUAAAAUGUAUAAAUGUUAUUUUUAUCCAGUUAUCUAGAAAAGGUUACAAGAGAGAAAAUCUUCACCUCUCAUCCAAAUAAUGACACCAUUUUUUUGAAAUAGGAAUAUUUUUCUGAUACUUAUUUUUGAUGCCUCCAGAGAAUUCAGGGCAUCCUCUCUGUAGCUAUUUUGAAAUAAAAAUUAAAUUAAAAGACAUUAGUUUUAUAUUUGUCUCAUCUGUAUCUGUGGUAAGGAAUUUGUUUGUUCUGUAGAUUUACUAUUUAUGCCCAUAAUUUAUUAGAUUUUACAACCAAAAUCUUUGUUGCUGUUACAAUUUCACAUUUCUCAGUAGUAUCAUUUCUUCUCAGAAAGACUUUUUUUAGAACUUUAACUUAUUAUUUACAUACAUGUCUGCAAUAUUUUUCUUACAGUUGAUAUUACUCUGUGUCAUGAAAAAGUCUACUCCCACAUCUUCCUGUAUGGAGAGUUGAGAAGUGUGAAUGUUGCAUGCAGUCCACAAGGUUCCUCCUUGAUCAUUCCAACAUCAGAAUGCUUUCUUGCCUGGGGUACUCACACUUUUUCCACUGGCAGAUAUUACUGGGAGGUGGAAGUGGGAGACUCUUGGAACUGGGCUUUGGGAGUCUGUAAUGAUGAUUGGAAAAAUAACAGAAAUUACAAGAUAAAUGAGGUGGAGGGGCUCUUCCUUCUUGGAUGUGUUAAGGAGGGUUCCCAAUGCACUCUCUUUACCACCUCCCCACUUGCCCUUCAAUAUGUACCAAGACCUAUUGGCCUAAUAGGAGUAUUCCUGGAUUAUGAAGGCAGAACAGUGAGCUUCAUUAAUGUUGCUCAAAGUUCGCUGAUACACAGUAUUCUUUUCUGUUCCUUUUCUCCCCUUGUCAAUGCUGUUUUCUGCUGUAGUCACAUCUGACCAGACAUAGAUAAGGACUAUGCCCCAAUAUAUGAAAAAUUAAAAAUCCAAGGAAGCCCUCUUCCUUGGGUAUUAUCAAACAGGUUAUAUUUUAUUAACUUUACAUUCCUUCUAAUGUUGUGAAAACUUGUUUACUUUGUUAUUAAUUAUGGUGAUAAUAUUAAAAGCUCAUAUAUUCCUAAAAUUAGUUUUUUUUUAAAAUUUAUUCA